GUGUCCGUGUGUUGUUGCGGAGGCAAGACGAGCCGAGACGAGGCGUGUGAGACAUGGCUGCAGCACAGGGCUCAAUUAGCUCUUUUCAUGUGAGAUCAAAGCGUCGGAGGCCCACGACCGGACAUCUACACAAGCUGCUGGACGUUUACACGAGCGGCCGGCCAAUUAAAGAGCACUGAUCACAGGGGGCGGAAUGCACGGCCAUGCCUCAGAUCUCGACAGAGACGUGUGAACGAGGCAUCACCUGAUGGUUAUACUGGUACCAGUAUGAACAAGGCAUCACCUGAGAGUGUGCGUGCGUGCGUGCGUGCGUGUGUGUUGGUCCCCUCUCUGUAUACUGGUGCUAGUAUGAACGAAGCAUCACCUCAUGGUUAUACUGGGUCUAGUGCAUAAACACAGAGAUUAUGUAGUGAGCUCAUUUUAUACAGAAAUCAAAAGCAUACUACAAUAACACUUAUUCAUGAAUCCAUUUCUUCUCCAUUCAGAGAUUGUUGCAUCUGGAAAUGGGUGCAAAUGAGUCUGUUAUGAAGUGUGCAAUUUUGUAACUUUUUUUUUAGAGUAAUUUUUAAGCAAUUUUAAAAUGUCUGUUGUGUCUGUGUGUCUGAUGAGAAAGACGUGGGUUAAGAGGUUAAGACACUGUGUGUGUGUGUGUGUGUGUGUGUGUGUGUGUGUGUGUGUGUGUGUAUCUAUCCGAUGAGAAAGGUGUUGGUUAAGACAUUAAGACACUGUGUGUGUGUGUGUGUGUGUGUAUCUGACACUGAGACAGAUGCCAAGGGUGUGUGCACAUGUGGAGUGACCAGGGUGGCGGGAAGGAGUGUGGAUGAUGAACUGACUGUGUGUGAGUGUGAUUGGUGUUGGAAGUCAACAGCAGAUAGGAUUGUGUGUGUGUGUGUGUGUGUUCUCCUGUGUAUGCAUGUGUGUGUGUGUUGUGUUCUCCUGUGUAUGCAUGUGUGUGUGUGUUGUGUUCUCCUGUGUAUGCAUGUGUGUGUGUGUGUGUUCUCCUGUGUAUGCAUGUGUGUGUGUGUUCUCCUGUUUAUGCAUGUGUGUGUGUGUUCUCCUGUGUAUGCAUGUGUCUGUGUGUGUGUGUGUGUGUGUAUGCAUGUGUGUGUGUGUGUGUGUCUGACUAGACAUCCCUGCAUAACUCCACAGAGAGGAUGUGAAGGCCAGUGGGGGACAUGAGUCUCAGACAGGUGCAGUGACCCUCCUGACCUCUGGAGGUGCUAUUUCUGCUUUAUUGGACAUUUACGGCUGGCCAGUUGCCUUUUAACAUGGCCACCUGGAGCCAAUCAGGGCCCAGCGUCCAGGCUGCCCAGCGCAAUCACUGAGGCCCCAGGGGAGGAGGCCUGUUAGGACAUUUACGACCCGGAAAGUGGUCCGGGGGGAAAACAAGGA
ensembl:lncRNA